CUUUCCCGUGGGAAUUUGGGGAUAGACCUCCCUCCUGAGAAGGUGUUCUUGUUCCAGAAAGCAGCCCUUUACAAGUGUAACAUGGCUGGUAAGCCUGCAGUGGUUACUCGUGUAGUGGACAGUAUGACUGGCAACCUGAGACCAACUCGUGCAGAAGCUACUGAUGUUGCCAACGCUGUGUUGGAUGGAAGUGAUGCAAUUCU
rnacentral:misc_RNA from 1 species